CCUACGGGCGGCAGCAGUGGGGAAUAUUGGACAAUGGGGGCAACCCUGAUCCAGCCAUGCCGCGUGUGUGAAGAAGGCCCUCGGGUUGUAAAGCACUUUCAGUGAGGAAGAACGCCUGGUGGUUAAUACCCAUCAGGAAAGACAUCACUCACAGAAGAAGCACCGGCUAACUCCGUGCCAGCAGCCGCGGUAAUACGGAGGGUGCGAGCGUUAAUCGGAAUUACUGGGCGUAAAGCGCGCGUAGGUGGCUUGAUAAGCCGGUUGUGAAAGCCCCGGGCUCAACCUGGGAACGGCAUCCGGAACUGCCAAGCUAGAGUGCAGGAGAGGAAGGUAGAAUUCCCGGUGUAGCGGUGAAAUGCGUAGAGAUCGGGAGGAAUACCAGUGGCGAAGGCGGCCUUCUGGACUGACACUGACACUGAGGUGCGAAAGCGUGGGUAGCAAACAGGAUUAGAUACCCGGGUAGUC
rnacentral:rRNA from 1 species